rnacentral:rRNA from 1 species
GAUGAACGCUGGCGGCGUGCCUAAUACAUGCAAGUCGAGCGAACAGACGAGGAGCUUGCUCCUCUGACGUUAGCGGCGGACGGGUGAGUAACACGUGGAUAACCUACCUAUAAGACUGGGAUAACUUCGGGAAACCAGAGCUAAUACCGGAUAAUAUAUUGAACCGCAUGGUUCAAUAGUGAAAGACGGUUUUGCUGUCACUUAUAGAUGGAUCCGCGCCGCAUUAGCUAGUUGGUAAGGUAACGGCUUACCAAGGCAACGAUGCGUAGCCGACCUGAGAGGGUGAUCGGCCACACUGGAACUGAGACACGGUCCAGACUCCUACGGGAGGCAGCAGUAGGGAAUCUUCCGCAAUGGGCGAAAGCCUGACGGAGCAACGCCGCGUGAGUGAUGAAGGUCUUCGGAUCGUAAAACUCUGUUAUUAGGGAAGAACAAAUGUGUAAGUAACUAUGCACGUCUUGACGGUACCUAAUCAGAAGGCCACGGCUAACUACGUG